rnacentral:rRNA from 1 species
CCUACGGGAGGCAGCAGUGGGGAAUAUUGGGCAAUGGGCGCAAGCCUGACCCAGCAACGCCGCGUGAAGGAAGAAGGCUGUCGGGUUGUAAACUUCUUUUCUCAGGGACGAAGAAAGUGACGGUACCUGAGGAAUAAGCCACGGCUAACUACGUGCCAGCAGCCGCGGUAAGACGUAGGAGGCAAGCGUUAGCCGGAUUUAUUGGGUGUAAAGGGCGUGUAGGCGGGAGCGCAAGUCAGAUGUGAAAACUCAGGGCUCAACCCUGAGACUGCAUUUGAAACUGUGUUUCUUGAGUGCUGGAGAGGCAAUCGGAAUUCCGUGUGUAGCGGUGAAAUGCAUAGAUAUACGGAGGAACACCAGUGGCGAAGGCAGAUUGCUGAACAGUAACUGACGCUGAAGCGCGAAAGCGUGGGGAGCAAACAGGAUUAGAUACCCGAGUAGUC